rnacentral:rRNA from 1 species
AUACGGAGGGUCCGAGCGUUAUCCGGAUUUAUUGGGUUUAAAGGGGGCGCAGGCGGCCAUUUAAGUCAGCGGUUAAAUCGUGGGGCUCAACCCCAUUCUGCCGUUGAUACUGGGUGGCUUGAUUGCGGUCGAGGUUGGCGGAAUUCGUUGUGUAGCGGUGAAAUGCAUAGAUAUGACGAAGAACACCGAUUGCGUAGGCAGCUGACCAGAUCGCAAAUGACGCUCAUGCACGAAAGUGCGGGGAUCGAACAGGAUUAGAUACCCUGGUAGUCCGCACAGUAAACGAUGAAUACUUGUUUUCGGCGAUAUAAUGUCGGAGGCAAAGCGAAAGCGAUAAGUAUUCCACCUGGGGAGUACGCCGGCAACGGUGAAACUCAAAGGAAUUGACGGGG